rnacentral:rRNA from 1 species
GACGAACGCUGGCGGCGUGCCUAAUACAUGCAAGUCGAGCGAAUCAAUGGGAGCUUGCUCCCUGAGAUUAGCGGCGGACGGGUGAGUAACACGUGGGUAACCUGCCUGUAAGACUGGGAUAACUUCGGGAAACCGGAGCUAAUACCGGAUGCGUUCUUUUUUCGCAUGAGGAGAGAUGGAAAGAUGGUUCUGCUAUCACUUACAGAUGGACCCGCGGCGCAUUAGCUAGUUGGUGAGGUAACGGCUCACCAAGGCGACGAUGCGUAGCCGACCUGAGAGGGUGCUCGGCCACACUGGGACUGAGACACGGCCCAGACUCCUACGGGAGGCAGCAGUAGGGAAUCUUCCGCAAUGGACGAAAGUCUGACGGAGCAACGCCGCGUGAGCGAAGAAGGCCUUCGGGUCGUAAAGCUCUGUUGUUAGGGAAGAACAAGUACGAGAGUAACUGCUCGUACCUUGACGGUACCUAACCAGAAAGCCACGGCUAACUACGUGCAGCCGCCGCAGUAA